rnacentral:snRNA from 1 species
AUAUAUAGCACAAACUAGUCUAC